rnacentral:rRNA from 1 species
GACGAACGCUGCGGCGUGCUUAACACAUGCAAGUCGAACGGAAAGGCCCUGCUUUUGUGGGGUGCUCGAGUGGCGAACGGGUGAGUAACACGUGAGUAACCUGCCCUUGACUUUGGGAUAACUUCAGGAAACUGGGGCUAAUACCGGAUAGGAGCUCCUGCUGCAUGGUGGGGGUUGGAAAGUUUCGGCGGUUGGGGAUGGACUCGCGGCUUAUCAGCUUGUUGGUGGGGUAGUGGCUUACCAAGGCUUUGACGGGUAGCCGGCCUGAGAGGGUGACCGGCCACAUUGGGACUGAGAUACGGCCCAGACUCCUACGGGAGGCAGCAGUGGGGAAUAUUGCACAAUGGGCGGAAGCCUGAUGCAGCAACGCCGCGUGCGGGAUGACGGCCUUCGGGUUGUAAACCGCUUUCGCCUGUGACGAAGCGUGAGUGACGGUAAUGGGUAAAGAAGCACCGGCUAACUACGUG